CCCUGCUUCCAGGAAAAGCCUCUAAGCAUCAGGUAACAUCAAAUCGUACCCCAAACCGACACAGGUGGUCAGGUAGAGAAUACCAAGGCGCUUGAGAGAACUCGGGUGAAGGAACUAGGCAAAAUGGUGCCGUAACUUCGGGAGAAGGCACGCUGACAUGUAGGUGAAGCCCCUGCGGGUGGAGCUGAAGUCAGUCGAAGAUACCAGCUGGCUGCAACUGUUUAUUAAAAACACAGCACUGUGCAAACACGAAAGUGGACGUAUACGGUGUGACGCCUGCCCGGUGCCGGAAGGUUAAUUGAUGGGGUUAUCGCAAGAGAAGCUCCUGAUCGAAGCCCCGGUAAACGGCGGCCGUAACUAUAACGGUCCUAAGGUAGCGAAAUUCCUUGUCGGGUAAGUUCCGACCUGCACGAAUGGCGUAAUGAUGGCCAGGCUGUCUCCACCCGAGACUCAGUGAAAUUGAACUCGCUGUGAAGAUGCAGUGUACCCGCGGCAAGACGGAAAGACCCCGUGAACCUUUACUACAGCUUGACACUGAACAUUGAGCCUUGAUGUGUAGGAUAGGUGGGAGGCUUUGAAGCGUGGACGCCAGUCUGCGUGGAGCCGACCUUGAAAUACCACCCUUUAAUGUUUGAUGUUCUAACCUGGCGCCGUAAUCCGGCGUGGGGACAGUGUCUGGUGGGUAGUUUGACUGGGGCGGUCUCCUCCCAAAGUGUAACGGAGGAGCACGAAGGUCAGCUAAUCCUGGUCGGACAUCAGGAGGUUAGUGCAAUGGCAUAAGCUGGCUUGACUGCGAGAGUGACGGCUCGAGCAGGUGCGAAAGCAGGUCAUAGUGAUCCGGUGGUUCUGUAUGGAAGGGCCAUCGCUCAACGGAUAAAAGGUACUCCGGGGAUAACAGGCUGAUACCGCCCAAGAGUUCAUAUCGACGGCGGUGUUUGGCACCUCGAUGUCGGCUCAUCACAUCCUGGGGCUGAAGUAGGUCCCAAGGGUAUGGCUGUUCGCCAUUUAAAGUGGUACGCGAGCUGGGUUUAGAACGUCGUGAGACAGUUCGGUCCCUAUCUGCCGUGGGCGCUGGAGAAUUGAGGGGGGCUGCUCCCAGUACGAGAGGACCGGAGUGGACGCAUCACUGGUGUUCGGGUUGUCAUGCCAAUGGCACUGCCCGGUAGCUAAAUGCGGAAGAGAUAAGUGCUGAAAGCAUCUAAGCACGAAACUUGCCCCGAGAUGAGUUCUCCCUGAGACUAUAAGUCUCCUGAAGGAACGUUGAAGACGACGACGUUGAUAGGCCGGGUGUGUAAGCGCAGCGAUGCGUUGAGCUAACCGGUACUAAUGAACCGUGAGGCUUAACCUU
rnacentral:rRNA from 1 species